rnacentral:rRNA from 1 species
UACGUAGGGUGCAAGCGUUAUCCGGAAUUAUUGGGCGUAAAGAGCUCGUAGGCGGUUUGUCGCGUCUGCUGUGAAAACUGGAGGCUCAACCUCCAGCCUGCAGUGGGUACGGGCAGACUAGAGUGUGGUAGGGGAGACUGGAAUUCCUGGUGUAGCGGUGAAAUGCGCAGAUAUCAGGAGGAACACCGAUGGCGAAGGCAGGUCUCUGGGCCACUACUGAC